UACGAGGGGUGCAAACGUUAUUCGGAAUUACUGGGUGUAAAGGGUACGUAGACGGCAUAUUAAGUCAAUUGUUAAAUUCCCCAGCUUAACUGGGGGUAGGCGGUUGAAACUAAUAAGCUAGAGGAUGAGAGAGAGAAGUGGAAUUCUCGGAGUAGCGGUAAAAUGCGUAGAUCUCGAGAGGAACACCGAUGGCGAAGGCAGCUUCUUGGCUCAUUUCUGACGUUGAGGUACGAAAGCGUGGGGAGCAAACAGG
rnacentral:rRNA from 1 species